rnacentral:rRNA from 1 species
UGCAGAAGAAGCACCGGCUAACUACGUGCCAGCAGCCGCGGUAAUACGUAGGGUGCAAGCGUUGUCCGGAAUUACUGGGCGUAAAGAGUUCGUAGGCGGUUUGUCGCGUCGUUUGUGAAAACCAGCAGCUCAACUGCUGGCUUGCAGGCGAUACGGGCAGACUUGAGUACUGCAGGGGAGACUGGAAUUCCUGGUGUAGCGGUGAAAUGCGCAGAUAUCAGGAGGAACACCGGUGGCGAAGGCGGGUCUCUGGGCAGUAACUGACGCUGAGGANCGAAAGCGUGGGUAGCGNACAGGAUUAAAAUNCCUGGUAGUCCACGCCGUAAACGNUGGGCGCAGGUGUGGGUUCCUUCCACGGAAUCCGUGC